rnacentral:rRNA from 1 species
AGUGAACGCUGGCGGUAGGCCUAACACAUGCAAGUCGAACGGCAGCACAGUAAGAGCUUGCUCUUACGGGUGGCGAGUGGCGGACGGGUGAGGAAUACAUCGGAAUCUACUUUUUCGUGGGGGAUAACGUAGGGAAACUUACGCUAAUACCGCAUACGACCUACGGGUGAAAGCAGGGGAUCUUCGGACCUUGCGCGAUUGAAUGAGCCGAUGUCGGAUUAGCUAGUUGGCGGGGUAAAGGCCCACCAAGGCGACGAUCCGUAGCUGGUCUGAGAGGAUGAACAGCCACACUGGAACUGGGACACGGUCCAGACUCCUACGGGAGGCAGCAGUGGGGAAUAUUGGACAAUGGGCGCGAGCCUGAUGCAGCCAUACCGAGUGGGUGAAGAAGGCCUUCGGGUUGUAAAGCCCUUUUGUUGGGAAAGAAAAGCAGCAGGUUAAUACCCCGCUGUUCUGACGGUACCCAAAGAAUAAGCACCGGCUAACUUCGUG